rnacentral:rRNA from 1 species
CCUACGGGACGCAGCAGUGGGGGAUAUUGGACAAUGGGGGAAACCCUGAUCCAGCGACGCCGCGUGAGUGAAGAAGUAUUUCGGUAUGUAAGGCUCUAUCAGCAGGGAAGAAAGAAAUGACGGUACCUGAGUAAGAAGCCCCGGCUAACUACGUGCCAGCAGCCGCGGUAAUACGUAGGGGGCAAGCGUUAUCCGGAUUCAUUGGGCGUAAAGCGCGCGCAGGCGGACCGUUAAGCGGGACCUCUAAUCCUGGGGCUCAACCUCAGGCCGGGUCCCGAACUGGCGGUCUCGAGUGCGGUAGGGGG